CGAAAGCCUGACGGAGCAAGACCGCGUGAGGGAGGAAGGCUCUUGGGUUGUAAACCUCUUUUCUCAGGGAAGAAGCUCUGACGGUACCUGAGGAAUCAGCCUCGGCUAACUCCGUGCCAGCAGCCGCGGUAAUACGGAAGAUGCAAGUGUUAUCCGGAAUCACUGGGCGUAAAGCGUCUGUAGGUGGUUUAAUAAGUCAACUGUUAAAUCUUGAGGCUCAACCUCAAAAUCGCAGUCGAAACUAUUAGACUAGAGUAUAGUAGGGGUAAAGGGAAUUUCCAGUGGAGCGGUGAAAUGCGUAGAGAUUGGAAAGAACACCGAUGGCGAAGGCACUUUACUGGGCUAUUACUGACACUCAGAGACGAAAGCUAGGGUAGCA
rnacentral:rRNA from 1 species